rnacentral:rRNA from 1 species
UGAACGCUGGCGGCGUGCUUAACGCAUGCAAGUCGAACGGUGAACACGGAGCUUGCUCUGUGGGAUCAGUGGCGAACGGGUGAGUAACACGUGAGCAACCUGCCCCUGACUCUGGGAUAAGCGCUGGAAACGGCGUCUAAUACUGGAUAUGUGACGUGACCGCAUGGUCUGCGUCUGGAAAGAAUUUCGGUUGGGGAUGGGCUCGCGGCCUAUCAGCUUGUUGGUGAGGUAAUGGCUCACCAAGGCGUCGACGGGUAGCCGGCCUGAGAGGGUGACCGGCCACACUGGGACUGAGACACGGCCCAGACUCCUACGGGAGGCAGCAGUGGGGAAUAUUGCACAAUGGGCGCAAGCCUGAUGCAGCAACGCCGCGUGAGGGACGACGGCCUUCGGUUGUAACCGUCUUUAGUCAGGAAGAAGCGAAAGUGACGGUACCUGCAGAAAGACGCCGGCGUAACUACGUGCCAGCAGC